rnacentral:rRNA from 1 species
GAUGAACGCUGGCGGCGUGCUUAACACAUGCAAGUCGAACGGAAAGGCCCAAGCUUGCUUGGGUACUCGAGUGGCGAACGGGUGAGUAACACGUGGGUGAUCUGCCCUGCACUUCGGGAUAAGCCUGGGAAACUGGGUCUAAUACCGGAUAGGACGAUGGUUUGGAUGCCAUUGUGGAAAGUUUUUUCGGUGUGGGAUGAGCUCGCGGCCUAUCAGCUUGUUGGUGGGGUAAUGGCCUACCAAGGCGUCGACGGGUAGCCGGCCUGAGAGGGUGUACGGCCACAUUGGGACUGAGAGACGGCCCAGACUCCUACGGGAGGCAGCAGUGGGGAAUAUUGCACAAUGGGCGCAAGCCUGAUGCAGCGACGCCGCGUGGGGGAUGACGGCCUUCGGGUUGUAAACUCCUUCCGCUAGGGACGAAGCGUUUUUGUGACGGUACCUGGAGAAGAAGCACCGGCUAACUACGUG